rnacentral:ncRNA from 1 species
CCCUUGGAGCGUUACAUCAAACGAAAGUAGUCAAGCUAUUUAAUUGGCGACAAAAUCGGACGCAAUGAGUAGGGAA